rnacentral:rRNA from 1 species
GCUUGUCUCAAAGAUUAAGCCAUGCAUGUCUAAGUGUAAAUAAGUCUAUACUGUGAAACUGCGAAUGGCUCAUUAAAUCAGUUAUCGUUUAUUUGAUGAUCUCUUACUACUUGGAUAACUGUAGUAAUUCUAGAGCUAAUACAUGCGGAACCCUCACGGGUAGCGUUUAUUAGAUACAAAACCAAUAUUUCGUAACAGAAAUUCUGGUGAUUCAUAAUAACCUAGCGAAUCGGCCUCGUGGCUGAUGCAUCUUUCAAGUUUCUGACCUAUCAGCUAUUGACGGUAGGGUAUUGGCCUACCGUGGCGAUGACGGGUGACGGGGGAUCAGGGUUCGAUUCCGGAGAGGGAGCCUGAGAAACGGCUACCACAUCUAAGGAAGGCAGCAGG